GAUAGAAGACAAAGAAGAAAGAAGACCUUGAGUGACCCCCUGCCAGAGAUUAAUAACAUCUUCUCAUUUGGGAUCCUCUGGACAAAGGGGUGUCAGAGAUGGGCUUGUGUUCAAGCAAGGACCGCCUUUACAUAAAAGGCUAUCGCCAGGGCUCGCAGUGGAUCUACAGGAAGGAGGAGAGGAUCUGUAAGAUCACUGAUUUGGAGAGCAUGAGGAAGGACAUCAUUGGCAAAAUAAAAUGGACAAGCUAUGAUUAUUGUAUAGCUAGAGACAGCCUGUAAUUAACGAGGUGGUGGAAAAUCAGAUUUAUUGCUGAGGUCCUGCACGACAAGCUGAAGGCCAAAGCCCAACU